rnacentral:lncRNA from 1 species
AUGGUGGAGCGAGAAAGAAGUAGGUCUGACGGCCACCUUCGGUUUGUCCUUGGUGAAACCGUGCAAGAAGGAGGACCUAGGAUUGGCGGGUGGGGAGGUGGCCGAAAUGGAGACGUACGGAGACGCGGUCGUUUCCGAAGACUCGUCCGAAUCCGCCCUUCCGUCCGGCUCCCCGGCCAGCUCCCGACUCUCCAACUCCAGGUUGGUCCCACUCAAAUCCAACGAGUCGGGCUUGCCACCGUUCUGCAUGUGCGAGUGGUUCGAACGAACAUCCUCAUCAUGCUUCUCCCUGGUAGCCGCGUUGAUCUUACUAUAGCUAGAAUUGAUGAUGAGCGGGAGUUGAAUGGGGUUCUCUCGGCCGACAGUCGGCUCCGUCCCGUUCAUAGUCACAGCCACCUCACUCGUGAAGCUCUCUUUGAGCGUGGUCUUCGGCGAGUCGGAGGAGUUCUUCGCGUUCUUCGACACCACCGAGUCUACCGGUUUAACGUCUUCGUUUUUGUACAUAGCCAGUCUAUUCUCACUAUUCUUGAGCAAAUGUUUAUCAGUCUUUUCAACGUGUGCGGAGUCGUCCGUGAUGUCCACGGCGGACAGGUGGAGGAACUUCUUGGUCCGGAUCGGCUCGUGGACCUUGGUCAGGAUGGUGCCUCUGGUGAUCUGCGUCUUCCGGUUGGUCCCUCUGUGCGCCACGGGGCUCUCUUUGAGCUCGUCCAAGCUGAUCCGCAGGUUGCUUUUGACAUGGACAUUGGUUUGACUAUCUUCGACAUUCUCGUCGAUCGUUUUGGCGAUGUCGAUCGGGUGCAAGACCACGUCCCCUGUCCCGUUCUCCUGCAUCGGAGGGGGAGUGGGAGGCGUCGGGAACUUGUCCUCCAGCAUCACCUGCAUCUUGACGACGUCCGAGGGUUUCUCCGGCUCCCGGGGACGACCUCCACGUUGGUGCAGUUCUCCUGCUCUUUCGUGGAGGUGGAAUUGAAGGGAGCCGGCGGUGGAGGCGAGAUCUCCUCGCUCGCGAUCGGCUCCAAGUAG